GGGAAAGGUUGGGUGUGCGUAGGACGCUCACCUUUGAAGAUGAUGGCACGAGCCAAUUAUAAUCUCAAAGGCAGUGACAAAUGUUGAAAGUAGCAUUGAAGCCACAACAUAAACCUAAAUAUUCCUUCUCUGUGGAUAGAUGAACCACAUACCAUACUUCAGAGUAGUUAAGAGCCAGUACAUCUCCUCUGUAGACCACUUCCGUUACUUACCACAAUAUCACAUUCAAAUUUCACGCAGAUGUGGGAUUCCUGAACCGAUCUCUAUUCUCCGUUGGUGAUCUGCAUCUGCCUCAUUCCUCGGUGGCAUAGCCGGAGGGCUGGAGGUGGCCUGUUUUCCUCAGGCUCGACCGCGUAUAUUGGUACAGCACAUUCCCAUUGACAUCAUAGAAGGUGAACUCAGCUUGGUUGUGAUCGAGCUGGAGGGACAUGAACCCUUGCCCAUCAUAGAAGAACUCAAGGUUGUCUUCGUUGGGCUGGAACACUCCUCUCCAUGCUUUCGAACCGCCUCCGCUCGUGAAGUAUUGGAUUGGGCUGGAACAACAGAAACUUGAGCGUUAGCAUUUGGUCAUGAGUUACUGCUAAAGAUGAGUAUGUACCAACAAAUCGAUGCUAACCUGUUUUUGCUGCUAAUAUGUUCCAGGCAGUGGUCGUGUCCGUUGAUGUAGAAGUCCACGCCGUUGGCCUGCAAAGGGUAUGAAACUGUCAUCGAGAGAUUCCUUUCCAUAGAGCUUCUGAAGCUAAUAAUAGGUAUAGUUCUAAGUAACCUGGAGGACUGGAAGAAGUAGCUGCAGAAGCUCCUUGGUGUCACCAUGAUCACUGACACUCCUCAUGGUAUGAUGGCCCACGGCAACCCUCCACGUUGCUGUUGAUUUCUUCAUGGCCUCGUCCAGAUCCUGUCCACCCACACAACGAAAGAGGUUUGAAAUAAUUUUGCUUUGAAGCAUCAUGAUGGCCUGUUUAUCAUUGAUGAGCUCAUUCAGGAUAUGCACCUUCAGCAAAUUGGCUAAGUAUUUUUCUCGAGGCGCCACUCCUCUCCAGUCAUAAUGAUCAUCUUUAGGGUGAGUCCAGUACUUGAGUUGAAACGGAGUGGUGUCAACAAAGAAGAAAUCCACAAUUUCUGGUAAAAAAAAGAAUGAUAUGUUAGCAGUUAGUCCCUUCUUUUUUUUCAUCACAGUUUUCACACCUUGUUUGUUCAUUGUUUCAGAAAAAAAAUACGACUCUGUACCUGCGUUAACAAUAAACGACCUCAUGCAAAUGAAUCGGUUGUCGAUCUUUUGCAGGACUGGACUCAGCUGUGCAAGCACAUCACCCCUGUAGUCAUGAUUUCCCAGAACUGAAAAGGAAAAAUGAAACAUGAUUGAUUCCCACGAGCAAGAUGAGUGAUGGAAAGCAAAAGCGAAAACAAAAGCUUACCGAGGUACCACGGCUUCUGCAAGCUCUUCGCCGUGUAGAUGUUGGUGAAGGAUUGCUCGAACGCCUCGUCAUCUGUGCCCGUCAGGCCGUUCUCGUAGAAGUUGUCGCCGGUGGAUAUGACGAAGUCGAUGUCGAGCAGCUCCCCAACCUUCCCCAUCUACAUUGCAAACCACUCAACUCAUCAUGGAGUACUACUGGCGGUAACUUUUAUUGAGUGCACAACAGCUGGCUCCUUAAAAAGAAAGUAGAUCGGAGCAUGCGCUGCGCCGGCCAUUGGGGCAUCCACGACUUUUUCUUUGAGUAAAGAAAACUGGAGUGGCAACCGGUGAUGGAGACUUGCACUAUUCUCAUUCCUCCUCCACCCAAUCAGAGCAGCCGGCCAAUCGGCGGUUACCCUGAUAGAGUACUUUGAUCAGGAUCGUCCGAUAGAUCCCCUACUUCGAUGAACAGUAUGACCUUGACCACCAAGAUUACAAUCCAAUCCGAUCCUAUCUAGAGAUAGGAUUACUACUGCUCAGAAUCGUAAAAGAGUUGCAUGUUCUUCUCGAUCGAUUACUCGAAUGUGGCGUACCUGCUCGGCGACCCUAGAUUGGUUGUACGUGCCCUUGCGGCCCCAGUCGCCGACGACGAGCAGGCUGAGCGACCCGUCGUUCUUGGCCGGGUGCUCCAUCCGGGUCAGCUCCGCGGCGGCCGGCGCGCACAGGGCCGCGGCCAGCAGGGUGAGGGCCGCGGCGGCGGCCAUGGCGUCGCUGCCCUUCGCCAUCGGCCCCCGCCACUCGAAGCGAACUGAAAAACGAGGUGCCACGACCGGGUCGGGGGCACCGACUGCCAAUAUAUAACAGCAGCAGUUGGGCGCGACGGCAAGUCACCACUCACCACUGCCAGGUCAGUCAGGUUGGGUGUCUUGCCAGCAUUGGCGGCGCGGCGCGGGAAGGGAUGCGAGGCGGAGAGGGGGUGGCGACUGGCGGAGGCUCCUGCUGUCCCUGUCCGUCCAAUGGGGGCGCGUGAACGGGCGAGAAACUGACAACGUAACAAGGCCCCCCACACGCCUGCCAACCAUUCCUUCUUUCCGACGAUUGCUUGUGGCUCGGAGGCGUCCAGAUCGUUCUGCUUUCGUGUCAUCCACGCCCAGCGAGCGAUGAUGCCGUCCGAAAUGAGAGUCGGCAAUGAUGACGCGAUCCGUGGGCUGUGCUCGCAUUAUUGGAGCGAUCAGAGGAGUGGGUGAGCUACGCAGCCAAGUGGAGUGAUGGGCGCGGCGAUAGCCGAUGACUUGGAUUCGUUCUGACCACCAAUUUGCUGGUAGAGAGCUAGCUAGGCUCACUGCAUGCAGCUUGGCAUUUUUGGCAGUGGCUGCUACGAUCCAAGGGUUCCGCUCGAAAGCCCAAUCAUUCGGGCGCUUUGAUUUGAUUGGAUUUGCUGCCGUGUUUUGCUCCACUGAAAAUGUGGACAAACCAUGUGCUGAUUGUAGCAGGCAGGAUAGGGCAGGGUGCACGUGUAACAUCCCGGAUUUUCCGGAAUGUUAUCUUAGUGCAAAAAUCCUGAAUUUCAAAAAAAAAAAAAUCGUGUUGUGCCCUAGUUAGAACAUAAUAUAAGGUUAAUUUCUCUCUCCCUCGAACUCUUAGUAAAUUUAAUUGAAAUUAAGGACUAUUAGAUGCUAGUGUGAAUAUUUGAAGUCCUUUUGAAUUUAAUUGCAAUCUCCUUGUUAUAAUUGAUUGUUGGAUUUUCUUGUUUGGCUUUCAAUUUUGUGUGCACCAAUUGUGUGGAGUUUGAAUUUGAAUGGGCCACUCAAAUUAAAACUCAAACUCUAAUACCUCUAACACCCCUUUGGCCCACAGCCCAAGCAAGCCCAGUCGGCCUCACCCGCUCGCGCGCCCUUUCCCUUCUCCCCCGCGAGACGCCUAAACCGGCCCAGCCCACGAGCCACCGCAGCCUAGCUCCCCGUCGCCCCAGCCCGCGCGACACUUCGCCUGCUCCCCUUGACCGGCCGACGCACGGGACCCACUCAUCAGCCAUUCCCCUCCUUCCUUCUCUCGCAGCGACCAGAAGGUUCCGCUCUGCUCCGCCCCGUCGCCCUGCUCCGACCGCCGCAGCGCCCCGCCUCGCCGCUCCGCCCGCUCUGCCGCCGCCGCUCGCCCCCGCGCGCUUCGCCCCGCCUCGCGUCGCCGCUCGCCCCGCUCCCCGACAGACAAGCGAAACCGCCGCGCCCUGCUUUCCCCAACCGCAUCGCCCCUUUUUCCCUUCCGCCGCGGCUCUGCUAGCUCGCGUCACCAGCCUGCGCCGCGCCCCGCCUGUCUCCGCUUCGCGACACGGGAGCGAAACCGUCGCGCCCCCGUGUCAGCCACCAACCCGCGAACCCUAACCCUAGCCCCGUGCCACAGCCGCAGCGGUGCCGCCACGCGUCCCGGCCCGGCCGUCGAGAACCCCGGCCGCAGCCGCUCCCGAACCCUAGCGCUCCCUAUAAGUCCGAGGCCGCUUCGCCCCAAACCCUAGAAGCCCCAGCCUCCCUUCCGCCGCCGCCACACGAAGAGGAGGAGGAGGAGGAGCCGGAGCUGCGCAAGGAGGAGAAGGCCGACGCCCCGGAGCUUCACCAGGCCGGCGCCCCGUACGACGACCCCAACGCCGCGGAUCUCCCUGCACGGCCUCGACCCACCGGCUCCAACCCGCCACCGCACCGAGCGCCAUCUCCCUCAGCCCCGCCGGUGAGCACUGCUGCCGCCGCCCCUUUCCUUUCUUCCUUGCUGCCGGCGUGGGCCAUGCGCCGCCGAUGAACCAUCCGUAGCCGGCCGUAGGACUCCCCACACCCCUCCGGCCGCUGUGCCGUCCUUUCUUGCAGGAGCCCGACGCGCCGCCCUCUGUCCCGCUACCGCCGUCGCCACUCGCCGCCGCGCCGCGUCGCGGACCCGGGUCGCCGGUGCUCCGCGCACGGCACGGCCACGCCGCGGCCCUGGGCAGCCAGGCUCCGCGCGCGUGCGUGCGCACCCACACCGCAAGGCCGAGCCACGUCCAGCCUAGCCACGCCCACGCCACGGCCACGCCGUGCGCGAUCACCCCCGCGACGCGACCGCGACGUCGCGUUCGCGUCGCGGCCAAGCCUUUGCGGCAUAUCCCCGAGCACCUUUCGGGCGCUCUCUCACACGCACACACGCACACACGCACACGCGUCUGCCACACCGGACCCGAGCCCCGCCACACGGGAUCCCGCGGAGGCCGACAAGUGGGGCCGCCCUGUCAGAGAAGACGGAGACAGAAGCCACCGGGCCGCGAGGUGGAGAAGGCGAAGCGCAGCCCAGCCAGAGGAGAAGAAGGAGAGAGAGAGGGCCCAGCCCAGGAAGGAGAAGGAGCCGGCCCACGGGAGGAUCCAGCCGAGCCACUCUUUCACGCGUAGCCAGCCCGUUCGCCCGAGCCGGCCUGCUGAGCCGCAGGCCGAGCUGCCCCUGUGAACCUAAGCCGAGCCGAUGGGCUUCGAGCCGGCCCAUCACCUCUUUUGGCCCAAGAACCAAACCGGACCCUUUCUUUGUCUUUUCUUUUCCGGCCCGACCCAAGGGGCCCACCUGCCAGCCUCGUGCUGAGGCUGACCAGUGGGGCCCGACGACCGCUGACCGACCCUUGACCGUUGACCGUUGACCGGUCAACGUUGACCGGUCAACGCUGACGUCAGCAGGGCCCACUGCUGACGUCAUCUUCCCGGACCCCCUCUGCUGACGUCAUGCUGACGUCAGCAUGCCACGUGGCAUACCCUGGUGCUACCACGUGUCCCUGUUUUCAGGCCCUCAUUUCUGAAAAUCUUUUAUUAAUUUCAGAAAUAGGUUUUUCCUUAGAAAAUUUAUAAUAAAUUAUCCGGACCUCCGAAAAUUAUGAAACCAGUUUCAUAAUUCUUCUAAAAUCAUGAACCACCUGUUAGAAUAGGUAUUGUGGUGAUUUGGAUCUUAUUUGCAACCUUUUUGUGCACUUUUGCACUUUGGACCCUACUCUUACUCGUAUUUACGAAUAGGACCCGUCCGCGAGGAGCUGACCGACGACCAGGACUACCCGGAGGCUCAGGAGGACUUCGCGGAGACGCCAGGUUCACGCCCAUCUACGAAUUGAACUCCUAUUAGGCAUUUGCUUGUAGAUAUGCUAUUGCUGUAUGUGUAUAUAUAUAUAUAUAUCGAGAUAAAUCUGCAUGGCCUCUUUACGAUCCAUACUCCUUGUUAACCCAUUUUGAAAUGUUUAUUAUAUGAUAUGCCUUGUAAAUCCUUGAAAGUGUAUGUGUGGGAUAUGGACGGAUAGUCUUGGCGUGUGUGGAGAGGUUCCUAUCAGGAGUUGGUGACUAGGGCUUAGCCGGGAGUGGGCGACCUAACUCGAUCAUGGAUCGAGGGCUUGGGGUGUGUAUCUUGGCACACCCUACGGAGUACCUGUGGCGGGUACAGUUUUGUUUACGUGUUGAGGUGUUUGGGGCACCCGUUAAGGGUGCAGUUGCGGACCACCGUGGUGGAUACGCGUGUGACGAAGAUGCCCGCUCCGGCAGAUAAGGACCGGGUGAGAGUAACCAUGACUUGUGGGACUUUGUAAGCGUGCACACCACUUACCCAUUAUGAGGGUGGGCCCGGUCCGGACUUAGCAAGCGCGGUACCAAGCCGGUAGGAGGAUCGAGUAUCGGUGCAGGGGAAGGAGGUGCUGACCUCACGUUCCCCGAGACGCAUGGGAGGCUUCACAGUCCCGGGGCGACCUCUCGCGGGAGGAUGCGCCCAAGACCCGGGAAAGCCGGAUGGUGCCGUGGCUCCUAUUUCCGUUUCGUAGACCGGUGUUUCGUAUACUAGUCGGCUGAUCUCCGGCUAGUGUCGAUUCGAGUGGGACCAGGUGUACAACCCCUGCAGGGUGAAAACUAUACGUAUAGCCGCGUCCUCGGUUAUGGACAUCCCUACUCUUCUGUUGCUCUUAUUAGUUAGUGAUACUCAUGAUCUCUACCUCCCUCUAAAUUAUUGUCCUGCCAGGGGGCAGUUGAGAUGCGAGGAGAGGGAGUCCUCGCAUCGACUUGGUGGUGUGGAAGGUGUGUGUGACCGGGAGUCCGGAAUGCCGGAAGGGCCCGAGUCGGGAAUGGAAGGAGAUGUGUAUUUAUAUAUAUAUAUAUAUAUUAUUGCAUGCAUAGGGAAACCUCCAGCUUUACCCUUGAACUCUGUUAUUCCCAUAGUAUAGACCACAUAAAGCUUACAUACGGAUGGUGACGUGAACCUAUCCCAAUCCUUGGGGAUAGCCUGGUACGAUGCAGGAUCCGACCCGGAAUUCGACCCCAACGACGACGGAUGGUACGACUGAGGCCCGAGCUACGCUCAAGUCGCCUGUGGAGGUGGAACCCGAAGAUGGAGGACGGCCGAAGACCUAGCUACCGCUAUGCGCUUACUGUUUGUUCGAUUUAGCCGAAAGGCUUGUAAUAAAUUCCGUACUACAGAUCCUCUGGAUUUAUGUAAUAAUUAAACCCGUGAUUGACCUUUUAAUGAGUAUGACUGUGAUAUUAUGCCUGAAAUGAGUUCUGUAUGUGAUAGCGCUUGAUCCAGGUACUAUCACGACGAUACAGGGAGUCGGAUUCCUCGAUACGGGAAUCCGGUUCAUUUCAGUACGUAUCUCCGGCCGGUCGAUGCCCAGCGAUGGGACCCUGGCGCUCCAUGGGGCGACGAGACGAGACGGGGCCUCGUGGUUGGAUCCCGGCGGCGUUUUCUUGGCCGGACCAGAGCUCACAGCCCGGACAGGUGAGAACUGGCGACGGACGUGAACUGGCAGGAUAUCUCAUAUCGCCUCGAUUUGGCCUCGUUCGCAUGUGCACAUUAUUUCGUUUUUUAGUCUUGUGGGCCGAGAUGUGCAUGCAAGAUGGUGCUAACGAAUGAUGAUAUCGCAUUAUCUUUCCCCCCCAAAAAUGAGACAGACAGACACACAGAAAGGAGUUUCGCCGUCGACGAACAAUCUGCAGUUUUGGAUAGUGCCAGCGUCGUAUUUUACGUGAAGUUUUCUCUUGCUUUUGGAGAAAAAGUUAUUUUUUUGCUUGCAAUGCUAACCGUGGUCUGACUGACUUGCUGGAGGCAAAUGUAAAGCAAAUCGCUUGCCAACUCAUGAGGAGCAAGAAAGUCUCGCAAGGCCGGCACAAGCUUACAAAGUUACACAGGCGUUGGACAACGCAGAGGGGAAGCAUCGACAACACCUACUACCACCACAUCGAGAAUGACUGAAACCGGACGCCCUUCCCUCCAUCCUGCUCACCUUUUGCAAGGUCCGGAUCUCCCCAAUUUCACAUCGCAUUUUUGUAAAAAUCGAUAGCUUGACCAGCCUAAUCCUCCGACUGAUCCGGUCCGCAACGGUUUCAUUCUUCGUCAUCGAGAUAGGUGGAGGGCUGGGAAUGGCCCGUCUUGCGCGAGCUCCACUGGUACAGGCUGUUCCCGGAGACAUCGUAAAAGGUGAACUGAGCCUGCUCCUGGUUCAGCUGGAGGGACAUGAACCCUUGCCCGUCGUAGAAGAACCGGAGCUUGUCCUUGUUUGGCUGGAACACUCCUCUCCAUGCUUUCGAACCGCCGCCGCUCGUGAAGUACUGGAUCGGACUGCAACGGCGGGAGCAAGGUCCGCAAGGGUUAAAGCCUGAUGAUCAUGUUGCCAUGCAGGUUCUACUCCCAAAAAUACUUAUGGGGAACUUCAGCUGAAAUGAUGCUAAACCUGUCUCUGCUGCUAAUGUGCUCGAGGCAGUGAUCAUGCCCGUUGAUGUAGAAGUCGGCGCCGUUUUCCUGAAUGGAUGGAAAUUUUCGUCAAAAGAUUGUUUCCAUGAGCCUUUUGAAACUAGUUUCUGAAUUACCUUGAGGACAGGAAGCAGUAGUUUUAGAAGCUCCUUGGUGUCCCCAUGGUCACUGACACUCCUCAUGGUGUGAUGCCCAACAACAAUCUUCCACAUUGCAGUUGAUUUCUGCAUAGCCUCAUCCAAGUCCUGCAUUGCAGAACAAAAAAGUUCAAAACAAUUUUGCUUGCAAAAAGAAGGUAGCCCAUCAAGCAUUGAUGACGAUUUCGUUCCAAAUGCGCACACCUUCAGCAAAUUGGCUAUGUAUUUUCCUCGAGGUGCCACUCCUCUCCAGUCAUAGUGAUGUUUGCCAGGGUGAGUCCAGUACUUCUUUUGGAAUGGAGUGGUGUCAACGAAGAAGAAAUCCACAAUUUCUGACAAAGAUCAGGAACAACGUCAAACAUGCAGUCUCGUUUACCUGCCUAAAGUUUUGGCAAAUUUGUGAUCCUCUCUAGGUUCAAAUGAAUUACUUUUUUCCGUACCUGCGUUAACAAUGAAGGAUCUCAUGCAAAUGAAUCUGCUAUCGAUCUUUCGCAAGACAGGGCUAAGCUGUGCCAGCGCAUCGCCCCUGUAAUCGUGAUUUCCCAGAACUGAAAAAAAAAUAUGAGGCAGUCUCAGUUCACACAAAUUUCAUCACCCUUCAUGCCAAAAUGGUAAUAACAAACGCAAAUAGUGGACGAACAAGGAAGAUUAAUCACCUAGGUACCAUGGCUUCUGUAAGCUUUGUGCUGUGUAGAUGUCAGUGAACGAUUCUUCAAAUGCUUGGUCAUGUACGCCCUUCAGGCCGUUGUCGUAGAAAUUGUCCCCGGUGGAUAUAACAAAGUCGAUGCCGAGCUUCUCGCCAACCCUUCCCAUCUACAUGAAAAGAUUGAUUAGUAUUUUCUCCACUCUCAAGAACCAAACGAUAUUUGGAGUGUACGUGGUUAACUUGCAUUGUGACGAUCAAAAUUUCAGUUUUUUAUUGAAAAACAAACAAUCAGGCAUCUUUAAAUAUUUGGAUGUGAUAUAGUAAAAUGAUUUGUGUAUAUUCAUCGCAAAAAUAAUAUCGUAAUAUUUGUAGGCUAAUAAAUUUAAGCAUGUAUGUUACCAUGAUAGAAAUUAAAGGUGAAAGUUGUUUGUUAAAAUUAUGCAAAUGUCUAAAAUUUCAACUCUCCCUCUUCAUUGCAGGGACUAUUAUUGUUUACGGUCAACAAAGUACUAAUGUUAUCAAUAAUGAAUACCUUCGAGUAUGCAAAAGAAAAGAAAAAUAUUUCUCACCAAAUUGGCCAAUCAAGUAUGACUCGUUUUUUAUUAUCACAAAAAGAAGAAGAAGAAGUUAGACUUGGUUUCAUUGCCAGUUGGUGCCAAUGAUGACAAGAAAAUGCAUGAGAUUUGAUGCCAAUGGUGAGGCAUGUGGUUCUUAACAAAUUUUUGCUUCGUUCCUGGCAGGUCUGAUCCAUCAUCCGUUACGGCGCACGCAGAAGACCAAGUUAGGAGCAGUCUCGGGAUGCGCACCCGUAAACACCGAUGACCUUUUCAAAUUUUAUAAGCAUAAAUACUUGUACGACUAAACAAAGCUGAAUCCGCCGCAUCUGGCGAUCGGAACUACCGAAGUAGGAGACGCGAGGCAGAUCCUCCGCUCGCAAAUCCAAUCAACCAUCAUCCGCGCGCACAGCAGCAAACUAAAGGUUCUACUAACUACUACUGUGAUGAACAGCAGCGACCUUAGGCUUGACGCUAACUACAAUCUUUUUUGUUUCUUUCUAUGGAUGAACAAAGAAACUGGUAUGAUAUGAACAGUGAACAGUCAACAAUGGGAUCAAGCUAGAUGCAUGGCAGGAAGCCAUGAACAAAUAAAGCAGGUGAAAAUGCCUCUUACCUGCUCCGCGACCAGUGACUGGUUGUGCGUGCCCCCGCGCCCCCAGUCGCCGACGACGAGCAGGCUGAGCGUGCCGUCGUUCCUGGCCGGGUGCUCCAGCCGGGGCAGCGCGGCCGCCGCCGUGCCGCAGCAGAGCGCGGCCGCGGCCAGGAGCGCCAGCGCCGCGGCCAUGCCAGCGCGGGCGUUCGCCAUGUACCCCGGGGGCUCGAUAGGCCGCUCGCUCGAAGCACGACGACCCGGAAGCUGAGACGAGAGGGGGCCCGGCGCGCCGGCGGAUGAUAUAUACCGCCAGGCCGCCAGCACAGACACAGAGGCAGGCAGACGGCGGCGCGCUCCGUCCAGCGGGCCCCGCGCGGCGCCGUUGAGUCGACGCGUUUAGGCUGCGACUUGAUCGAGUUCCCGUUGCAUUAUCGGCGCCGUUGACGUGUUCAGUUUGGGACUCGAUCGCAUUCGCGUUGCAUCAUCGGCGCCGUGGAGUGGAUGGCACUCGGCUGGCUGGAUCAACUUCGAUAUGAACGUACCUUUUUUUUGGAAAAAAAAAACUUUGAUAUGAACGGACGGCGACGAACAUGGAAUGCCAGCUGAUGAUCCGCUCGUGCUACAUGAGAUUUAAUUUGAGCGAGCUGGUAAGUGUGCACGGCAGGGCUCGGAUCGGAGCCGGAUCACCAACCAGUCGUUGAGCUGUUGGGGGGCGAGCAGGAACAUGGAUCGCCAUGUGCGAACUGCGCCCAAGCAUGCGAGCGUGAUCGUAGGGUUUGGGCGCAUCCGAUCCCCAACCCAUGCCGGCACACAACGGCAUAUUCUCCGGCCAGGUAGGCAUCGGCGGCGGCGAUAGAUGAACCGUGCACGUAGCUUGGUAGAGAAGUGGUUCGAGCUCCAGCCGGUGCUGGUGGGAAUAAUACCGUGUCCGUGCCCUCCGUGUGCGUGCGGGUGCGGCGUCAGCGGUGCACCCCGGGAUGCCUAGGCGACGCGCGCUCCCUGUUGUGGGUGUAAAUAAUAGCUCGUAGCUGCCCGCUGCCACGUCUGUUCCCUCUCGCCUUUUUCAGGAAACGUUGUGCCGUGCCAGGUUCCGUGCUCGUCGCUGGCAUGGUGGUGCGGACAUGCGGUUGGGUGCGAAUAUUCGAGGUACAUUUUCGGAGGGGGAUCGCUUGAUGCGUCGCAUAUUCCUCGGUGCCGGACCGUGCCGUGCGUCUUCUUUCUUUCUACUCUCCAGAGCAUAAUUGUUCAGCCUUCAGCGCUACGCGGACGCGAGUCACACGCGACGAGUUAUUUGUACACGGCACAUGUUAAAAUCAUGGAGGCUAGUGCACGGUAAUAACACGGUCGAGCGUGCGAAAAAAAAAAAGAGUGAAGCGUUUUCAAAGCCAGUGGGCCUCGAACGGGCCGGUGCUCAGGAGUCUAACGGCUUCACUGACUGGGCCGUAAACACGCAAGUUCUCCUGGGCUCUACGAACUCGGCCUGCCCUUGGAGCCUGCGGCGGCAGCGGCGGGAAGAAGAAGAAGACAGACAAACACAGGCGACAACCAGCCCAAGUCCAGCGCGGCAGCGCAGGGCGAGCGCCGAGCGAGAGGGCGGCGCUGGGAGACGCGCGGCCGUGGGAGUUGGGAUGCCGGUGCUGAAAAACCGCGUAGAGAGGGGGUAGCGUUCCGGCUUCCGCUGCCUGCCCGUGGCGCCGCUCUCUACCCCCCCAAAACCUCAAUCGUUCCAUGGGCGCCGCCGGAACCAGGCGCCACGCCAUGCGACUCUGCUGAUCGUUUCGCCGUCCUCCAACGACGGAAUCAAGGUCAGAUCGCGUGCUCUGAUGCCGAGACCGAACCAUCUUCCCGCCCCUCGCCUGGUAAUUUUUGCCAUUUCUGCUAUCCAAUGCAUUUUUCCUUUCUCGGGCUUUCCCCCCAUUUUCAUCUAAUACUAUCCCCAUGAUAUAUCGAACCCUGCAUAGCUCCCCCGUGUUUGCGUUUGAAGAACAGCAAGGAGGAGCUCCCGGUGUAGUGGGACUAUAUGCUCCCAAUGUCUCUGUCGUCGGUAACUUGGUACGCAAUCUGCAUUGCCACCACGAGAAACCAGAGUCCAGACUGAUUACUGGUCAGUCUGCCAAUCUCAUUGCCUGACACGAUCCGUCAGUUGUGUUAGUCUAUCUAUACAAGCACAUCACAGCCAAUCUGACAAGACCAGGGAAAAAUGAUUAAUAGAUAUAUGUCGUUAGCGUAUCCAUAAAACCGACAAGGCUUCAGGCUUAAAUUAACCCGCAUGAUUAGGUUGGGGGAACUCACUAACUCUGCUCUGUUCCUCCUGCCAGCCCACCAACAAAUGAUCCCACCGGUGCGAAAACAUACCCCCUCACAUGAAGUUAGCUUAAGCGUGUAGUUUAUGAUAUGAUCUUCCCAACUUUGUAUACUCCACAUCGCUGUUCCUGUCGCAUGGGCCAGGGUCGGCAAGUGCCAAGUCCGUUACUGGCGAAACCUUAGGCGUGUGCAACCAGACAAGCACAAUGAUCCAUCUGAUGCCCAACCAAGCCGGCAAUAAUUCCGGUUGUUAACUAACUUGAAUUUGGUUUGUCUUCGCCACCGUACCCUCGCCCUAUGAGCUAUGACCGGCGGCACCGAUCAAUGAAAGGGGAAGCUGACGAUUUGGUAAAGUAGUGUGGUCACUUACAAUGUUAGAUCAUGUGAUGGCUAACAGGGGUAAAUUUGGCAUUGAUCGCAAAAGGAAGUAUAAAUUUAGUAUCUGUAUGCUUUGUAUCUAACUUCUGUCAGGCAUGCAUGACACAAGCAAUUGGCUCCGGCCAAAACUAUUGCCCAAGAUGCUAAGCUAGUGAUGCAACUUGACUAGUGACAUUGACCGCUGGAGUAGCUACACCUCAUCCCAGGCCCACGGUGAGCGUAGGGAAGUUGGGAUGGCCACAAGAACGUACAGAAAAGUCAUGAUAGAUCCGUAUGACAAAAUCAGGCAGAUUGAGCAAGUAGAAGGUUCAAGAAACACAGGCCAUCAGAACUGUGAGCUAAGCCAUAGCCUAUGUGGCUUUGUGCUCUCCAGAACAUAUUGAGAGAGUGAGACUGGUGCCCACUGCAAGAACAAUUAUGCGCAUAUGUGACUAUCAGACGCUGUGGCCUUAUGAUUCUGAAAAUAGUAUAUUGAAAUAGUCCAAGAUGUGAAAAACUGAAACACGGCCAACGAAAAUUAGCUGAUCAGUUAAGGUACUUGAACAUUAGGUUAUACAGGCUAGACUAUGACCGAUUUUCAAGAUAAGAAAUACUGUUGUGGUAACGACUAACAAGUCAUGCCAGCGAUUGUGAUCGAAUUCGUUUUUUUGGAAUGGCCGACCGUGUUGUUGGGGCAUUAUUGGGAGCGCAUUUUGACCCGGUAGCAAUUUGAGCUUCAUCGAGAAUUGAUUCUUGGAUUAAUGUGAACCCGCUCAAUAGCUUUGGCCUAGUUUGUGCCGUGCUGGCUAAAAUUUGGAUAAGUUAGGGGACGAGGUGGUUAGUUAAUCCGUGGUAUUUCUUGGGCAUUAGUAUACGUACAAGUAGAAGUUGUUGGUACUUAACCUUCGAUAAUUUUCUCUCUGGGAAGAUCAAAACAGAUAUGGUAGGCAUCAUCACUGGCAACUUGCUGGGUUCUAAAUCGAUGUUGCUUACUAUCUCUUCUGACUAAAUACAUAUUCCAAACCUGGUUAGUUAAGAUAACAGGCAGUGGGUUCUUUUAUUGACCGCUGAAACACACAGCAUAAUAGUUUUGUGUCUCUUGAUAUCACACAUGACAAGUUUAUUUGCAACUUGCAGUGAGAAUAUUUGGUAAUAGAGAGGAUAUCUGGCUUCCACAACUCCAUGAGUCACUAUCAUAAAUAUCUUCGACCUUCUCGGACGUGGAUUUUUGGCUUUCUGUGAUCCGCUCAAAAUGGAUUAGUGAAAGCCUAGUCUUUGAGACAGUUUUUAUUUGAUUUGAUUGGAUCAGGAAGAUUAAUACAGUACAUCAGUGCGACUACAUUUUGGAUGAAUUCUCGUUCUCUUGAAAGAAACAAAUGUAGCAGCAUUUUUUUAAUAGAGGUGCAUCAGCAUUUCCGGUAACAGCUAAAGGAAAUUUUCUUUCAGAAAACUAAAAGAAAUAGCCCCGUUUCUAUGAGUCGAGUUACUAUUUGUGAUGGAAGAAAUAUGCUUUCCAAAUCUUGAGUUGUCUCUGUCUUUGCUGAUCAAUGUAUUACGCAAACACAGUUGUUGCCUGACUUAACUUUCUUCUGCUAUUUCUUGCAUGCAGGGUCCAAUUAUCAAUAAUUUACAGGAACUUUGAGAGACAAGUCAGGGGCAUCUUGCAAGCCUUACAUGAAUGUUUUCUGGUAAGGUUUCUAUACCUUAUGAUGAUAUGGUGCCUGGCACAAUGUGGAGCAGCCUAAUUCUAACCUUUGCACACCUAACCAUGCAAAAUAUUGAAAGGUUUUGUGACAAUUUCACUGUAAAAUCAUAUACCAUGGUCCUUCAGUCAGGGAGAAAACCUGAAAGGUCAGGUACCUAUCCUAGUAACAAAAAUACUCAAGAGUCAUGAAGCAAACAAGUUUCUAACUUACCCACCUAUGUUUCAGCUUCCAGAGAUAGUAUGUCCCUGUUUAAUAGUUUCUUUCUCCUGAAAUGACUCUCUGUUUAAUGGUUAGAGAUGCUUCUGCAAGUAAUUACCUGAAAUGCACAACCUUAUUCUCCUAAUUCUUGAUUCGGUUAAAUGGGCUUUCCAAUUCAUUUGUGCAUAAGGGAUGCACUUACCUGCUUAAACUGCAACAUGACUUAAUCAUCUAUCUACCAAAUCUAGAAUUUUAUUGGCAAUACAAGAAUAUAAUAAUUAUUUAUGUGAUAACAACACUUUAUGCUACAUAAUACUGAAGUGUAUUUCUUUUGGUUAAUUAUUUGUUCAAAAGCUGCAAAAUGGCUAUCACAAAAGACACACAGGAGUAUCUCGCAGUCUUGGGUACAAUGAUAGUUCAGAAGCUGACAUAAGCAUGAAACAAUUGCAGAAAGGGAAGAUUGAUGUAUUGGGGUGCUUUGCUCUAGAAAAAUGGAAUGAGCUUUCGCUGAAAUAUAUAAAAAUGGUAUUAACGAGGAAUCGCCGUACCUAUGGGGAUCAUUAUGGCCACUAAUGACUCAGCUUUUAUGUAUUAGUUUACAAAGUUAGUUAUAUAAUCCUGCGUGAUCAUUGUAUAGCUUCUGGCUGCAUGUCAAGAAUACAUUCCCCUUUUCCCACCUGCGCUUGCACCUUUUUCUGUUUCAGACAAUGAUUGGCCGGCUGAACGACGCUCAACAGGACCAAUGGAACAGAUGGACAAGAAGGGAUAAAUGAAGAUAGCUCAGGAUCAGAUGGACGAUGCAUCGUGUCUGAACUGUAGCUGCUCGUUGCUCUGAUGGAAACUCAACCACCACCCUUCAAUUUGUGUCCGCAGUAUGUCAGGUCAGAAUUUUCUAUACCUUUUCUAAAAAAAAGUGAAGUCUGAACUUCCAUUGGCCAUUUGCCUUUUCCAAUAUUUCUCCGGGGCUAAUGUACCAUUAUGCAACACAUUUAGCAUUGCAGAAUUCAAAUUGACGAACAUUCCACAAGCUUUAGAUGAGUGAGGAAGGAUGGAAGGUAUAUUCCCUGUUCAGAUUACUACUGGGGAAUGAGCCAUGAGUUAGUUACGCAAGGAAUAUAUUUUGAUCCACAUGAAGGUUCCAUACAAUCUAUUGAGAAGUUUCCCCCUCUGGCCUGGACGGCUGGACCUUCUCUAUAUGUUUAGAUAAGUUGCAGCCUGAAGCCUUUCUGAUUGUCAUUGUCGAGGAAAUACUUUGUCUAAUUUCACUUUGCUUUCUUUGUUCAAAAUGUGACAGGAACUUGCUAUGCAAACAAUUGAAUCUAAAAGGAUGAUUUUUUUUAAAACAAAAGGGACAGAUAAUUCUAUAGUGAGCUGCGGUUCUAUGAUGUAUAUCCUCGGUGCUAUAUGAUUAUCUUUGAAGAGGCGCAUGGAAUUUUGAAUAAAGCCACGACUAUAACUGGUUCAAGUUUUUUUUUUCCUGGGCCGUUGAGAGAUAGGAACGAUUACAAGCUGCAGAGUGCAGUGUUGGUGCACACAGGUAUAGCAAUGCAGGAGCUUCCACCAAGACACAAUAAAUAAUAUAAUGGAGGACAAGAGACAAAAGCAUAAGCAAAUUCGAAAGACGACAAGCAAGGAGGUAGGCUGUGCCAUGGGUAUUUUUGAAAGGGAGAACAACGCUAAAAAAAGGGUCUUAUUAGUAAGCAUCAUUAGGCCUUUUGGCAAUAUGCACCCAAAAUCCUGCGGGAGUUAGCUGGAAUGCAACAUCGGAACAGUAUCUCAGAAUCAUAUCUAGAUCGAUAUUUUUGUAGACCCUGUACAUUGAAUCUGCAUUGCAUCCUAUCUGCACAUACAUACACUUUGUUUUGACCUGCAAAGUCUAGCUCAUCAUCUGGGAAUCAUAUAUCCUAUCUUUUUCAUCAGUACACUGUAUGUGAAGCUAAUCUCGGCAGGUGUACACAAGUAAAAGGAAUCUUUUUUUGCAUGCUAAAUUACGGUAUAUGUAUGCACGUAAGUGACGUAUUAGUUGAUAAAAGAAAACUAACACGGUCAAGUUAAACUUGAGCAUUAUAGGAAGCAAAAAAAAAAAGAUUGUCCGACUACUCUCUGACGAGAUGCAUGAUGUAAUAUAUUCUUUCUAUCAAGCAUGGAAGAUGUGGCGCCCAAUAGAGACAAGUUGGUCAAGUGGAACCUGGGCGACAUGCAGGCCUCAACCUCCCUAUCCCGAGUCUGUGUAUACUAGGCUCCAAUACUUAAACCACGUGCAAGAAAAAUAGUUGUGUGUUUCUCAGAAAGUACAAUAAUACAGCAGCCAGCCAGUUGGACAUACAAAAGACAACAACGUGUUCGCAGCCGUCCACGCAAGACGCAAUCUAACUGCUUGCUAAACCGGCCCAUAUCCACCUGAUCGUUCGCUCCUCAAUGAACACACAGCUCGAUCAGAAUCGGAGGAUUCACAUUUCAGGGGAAUAGGGGGUGAGAUGACAAUGCAUCUGCUGGCGCCCAGCUAGUAGCCAACCAUAAAGUGGCCAAGGAUUGGAAUCACCCGAUCCCCCUCAGACAAGUCACCCCAUCAACGCCGUAAUCCCCCACCCUUUGACCGCCUGCAGGUAGCGUUCGAAAGUUGAGAGCCGACUUGGGUUGGGCGGGGUACCCUUUUCCCCCACUGUCACUGCCACCCGCCCCCCUUUUUUCCCAUUUCCCUGGCUCGCCACAACGACGGGCGCCACCAUGCACCGCACGCGCGCGCCGAUCGACAUCCAUAUCCACUCGCACAGUUCGCCGGCCGGCUGCGCGGCCGUGCAUGAACACGGGCGGGCCGCGGGAGGCGCCUGCUCCGCCUCCGGCCUCCGCUCCGUAGGCUUUGUCGCCUCGCGCCUUGGCGCGUAGCUCCGCGGCGCCUAUUUAAGCCGCCUUUCCCUUCCCCGUCUAACGUUUCCGUCCCCCCCGGCCUCGCUCUGACACCACCGCUCGCUCGCGCGCCUUCGCCCUCUCUCUCCUCUCUCGCCUGUCAGCUCAGCUCCCGGCAGUCAUCACCGGUCAGCUCGCGGCCACCCUAGACGACCGCGAUCGAGGGCCUACCAGGGCUGCGGCUCCAUCCAUCGUGCUGCUACCUAUCAUCAAUUCAUCAUCAUCAUGCUAGAGAACCAAAAGCAAGCGGAGGUAGGCCACCCGGACGCACGCACGCACGCACUAACGUUCUCCCUGUCUCCUAUCCGGUCCCGAUUCCAUUCUCCGGCUGCUCUUUCUAGCUAGCUCCAGCUCCGAUCCGACCGGCCUAUGGCACGGUUACGUUCUCCCACAUGUAACUGACGCCGCGGUGUGCGCACAUGCUUGCUGCUAGGUCCUCUGGCCCAGGCUUGUGGCCAACAAGCUCUUCCGGAAGACCUCCGGCAGCCACGCCUUCGUCGCCGACUUCCCGGUCGCCGAUGACGACGCCGCCUUCGACGACGGGGGGUGCAGCCCCGACGCGGACGCCAGCCGCUGCGUCAAGCGGGCGCGGCCGCAGGAGCGGAGCAAGACCCUCAAGUACAAGUACGUGUGCAUUCAUGUUCGCCGGCUCGGUCACCUGCCGGCCAUUCUCGUCUCGUUUAUUCGCAUACAGGUAGCUGAUCGUUGAUCCAACUGCUGCAGGCUGUUCGCGAGCACGUGGAACGUGGGCGGCGUGGCGCCGCCGGACGACCUGGACCUGUCGGACUGGCUGGACGCCCGCGACGGGCCCUACGACAUCUACGUGCUCGGGUUCCAGGAGGUGGUGCCGCUGCGGCCGCGCAACGUGCUGGGCGCGGACAAGAGCCGCGUCGGGAUGCGGUGGAUCGAGCUCAUCCGCGCCGCGCUGAACCGGUCCGCGGCGUCGUCGUCCUCGCCGAGAGGGGCCGGCGGCGGCGGCGGCGGAGGAGAUAGCGGCAGGCAGAAGGUGCACCCGGUGCGCGACGGCGGCGGCGUCGGCGAGCUGGCGCGCGAGUACCGGUGCGUGGUGAGCAAGCAGAUGGUGGGCAUCCUUCUGACGGUGUGGGUGCGCGCCGACCUCCGGCGCUUCGUCCGGCGCGCCAGCGUCUCGUGCGUGGGGUGCGGCGUCAUGGGCUGCCUGGGCAACAAGGGCGCCGUGUCCGUCCGGUUCUGGCUCCACGACACGAGCUUCUGCUUCGUGUGCUGCCACCUCGCGUCGGGCGGGCGCGACGGCGACGAGGCGCACCGCAACGCCGACGCCACGGAGAUCCUCGCCCGGACGUCCUUCCCGCGGGGGCACGCCCUCAACUUGCCGCACAAGAUUCUAGACCACGAGUAAGUCACCCACUAUACUAUUAUUACUACUACUAUACCUGCUGCAUCGUAUCAGUAUCAGUGUCCAUGUCCAUCCAUCCACUAGUGCCAUGCCGGCCAGGAAACUGUGCGCUUGCUUUCCCUGGCCACGACCGCAGCACAGUAGGCGCUGACGCUGACACGCACCGCGCGCACGUAUGAACGUUGCAGCGGCCGUUUCUCUCUCUCUCUCUUUUUUACCACCAUUGACUUGAUGAAUCGUAUUCAACCAACCCGGUAGCUGAACCGUCCACGGGACGGGUAAACCAAAGGGUAGGUCUACGUAGAUAUCGCCGUAUCUGGGAUAGAUCUCGGUACAAGAUGUGCGAAGAUAAAUAUAAUGCCACUACCAGUAAGCAUACUCAUCGAUCGUGUUGGCGUAAGUGGUAGCUCACAAGGUUCAAAAGUAAUUUAGCCGAUCGUGGCAGGUCCGGUCGACCGCCCAACUGCCUGUUUUAUAUACUGAUGAUAUGCUUACAAAGUAUAAAACACACACAUCAGCUUGUGCUACUGUAAUAGUAAAGCACGUAGUCAAGACAGAGACAGAGCCAAGAUCAACCAAUGAUGAGGCAGGCUCUGACCGGGGUUUGUUUACGCGCUCUCUGUGUGUGUUCGUGCGUGCAGCCGGGUGAUCCUGCUGGGGGACCUCAACUACAGGAUCUCGCUGCCGGAGGCCAAGACCCGGCUGCUGGUGGAGCGGCGGGACUGGAGGACGCUGCUGGAGAACGACCAGCUGCGCGCCGAGGUGUCGCGCGGCGGCGGCGCGUUCCGGGGCUGGAGCGAGGGCGACAUCGCCUUCUGCCCCACCUACAAGUACCACCCCAACUCCGACAACUACUACGGCGGCCGCGCGGCCGCCGGAGGCGGCAGGAAGGGCGAGAAGCGCCGCGCGCCGGCGUGGUGCGACCGCAUCCUGUGGCACGGGGCCGGGCUCAGCCAGACGCGCUACGACCGCUUCGAGUCGCGGCUGUCGGACCACCGCCCCGUCCGCGCCGUCUUCACCGUGGAGGUGGACGCGCCCAGGAACCUCAACUCGCUCAGGAGCUUCUUCAUGUCCGAGAGGUUCGACAGGGCCAGGAGCCCCGCCGCCGACCGGAUGCUCCGGAAGGACGACGUCAACAGCGCCAGGUUCGCCGAGACUCUCUGACACGGACGACGCCAGGCAGCGCCGGUCUGCCUUACUUCGAGGAGAGGGUGGAAUCGUCACUCCAAUUCUCCAAUUGUACACAGGCAAAAGCGGAGACAGAGAGUAUAUAUGAUUGUUCAGUUCUGAGUGAGUGUUCAUAUGAUCGUAUCUACAGGUAGCUAGGAUACAGAGAUGUUUUUUUUCCACCCUGUUCCUGACUUUCUGUAACUGCAUCUGUACUCUUAUUGAUCCAAUGAGUAUUCAGUUGUCUCGAAUUUGUACCAUGGACAAGCAUGCCAAGAGAAAUUUGUGGCCCUAAACGAGUGCAAUCAAUUCUCUUCUUUUAUACAUCAACAGGUGUAAAAAAACAGGCUAUGGACGGCAAUUUUGUAUUGGGGGGCAUUGCUAGUGCCUGCUGCAGCGGGUAGCUUAAGCAAAAGUGUGGUUGCCACAAACACACACACACGCACACACAGGGGGGGGGGGGGAGGGAGAGAGGUUAUCACUUCUGAAUUGAGGUGUAUUCAGAACCACAUACUAUUACAGUUUUCAGCAGAUCUUGGAUGAUUUGUGAACUAUUUCAGUAUGUUACCUUUCUUCGCGUGUGUCUACGGUGACCCCUCAAAAAUGAAAACUAAUGUGGGCACUGUGGCAAGUGUUCUCCAGGGGAUUUCAAAACUAUUGUGGCGUGGCGUGGGCCAUAGCAAUUGGGCGAUACGCGGCACAACUGGUGGUCUGAAACUCGCAAUCCAUCCCCUAAAUUCAAGGGCUCUGUUAAGAUUGUCCCCCGUCUUGUUUCCUGCUGCUUGUUCCUUCUGUUUGUCAGGAUUCCCCAGAACAAAUCGCUUGAUCCAAGACAAGGAUGCUGCCCUGCAUGUGGUGCGAGACAGCAGUUUUGUCUAUAGCCUCUGCUUAUCAUUUAAGCAUGCUGGUAUUCAUGACUGUAACAAGCUCUGUGCGAAUGGCUAGUUCAAAUUUAUGCCUCCAAAUAUUGUACUGUAUCUAUGCACUUGACUCACAGUACCCAGUAUUUGAAAUGAAAAUCACCCUUGUUUAUUCAGAAAUAGUUCAUUAUGCGCAUUAUUUAUACUGAUUCUGAAUUUGAACUAGAAGGUAGACAUUGUGUGAACCCUGAACCAUCUCAGGUCUCCUGUUGUCGUACACUCUUUCAGAUAUUCCAGAGUCUGAUUAAUGUAUGGCACGUACUGGUCCUAAACAAGGGAUCCCCAAAGAUUCUCCCCCACCACAAGAGUAAACAUAUAUGCACAAAGGGUGUUUCUUUAAGGAACAGCAAAACUAAUUGCGUUGGACCAUUGUGGCGUUUCCACUCGAUAACCACACGAAGUUAGUUCUUAGAGAGCGGCAAAAAGAAAUGACCAAUCAUAUUACAUCAUGGAUCACCUAACACUUGCUAGAUCAUACUCAAAUGGGUCCAACCUUCCUCGAGAGAAAUAGCGAAAUCAUUGGAUCCGUAACAACAGUGCACCGGAUCAUCGCCGACGGCGUCUAGAAGAACUAGUAAACAGAUAACAUUUCCAAGUUGCGCUGAUCAUUAUCAUACUUAAAGUUCAUUCAGUUCAGAAAGGCUUUCCCAGUGAUGAAAAUUGCGUCUCUAACCCCCCUCAACAAUCACAUCAGCACACCAGCUCAUGAGCAAGUUGCCUCCUUUUUUUAUCUGUCUGAAAGCUCCAUUAAUCCAUGUUUUAGCUGGUAUCGCGUGGCAGAGCGUUGCAGAAGAAAUACCAUCUUUCAUCCAUGACAUAGGGCAAAGAUUUCGCAGGAGACAACAGCACUUCUAUCAGAUGAUGAUGCAAGUUGCUUGCUGGUCUCAAGAAUGGCAAGUUGUUGGUAGGCCCUGGCUAUCCUCAAAUGGGCUCGCAGGUCAACCCCUCCACAGCCACUUACCAUGCUGAGGUAGCAAGGGGAGGAAGAACACUUCUGGUGAGACAGGAAAUGGUCUAGAGUGAUCUGUGUCCUUCGUCGCCUGCUUGCUGGAGAAAUAUCUUUGCCGCAACUGGACCACUGGCUGCAUGCUCCAAACAGAAAGUGCUAAGUGCUCACGCUAAGUGGCAGAGUUUCCGAAUUUGGGUUCAGGACUUUGGGCGCCACUGUAGCUCGGAAGGGCAGCUCUGGGGACUACUGGCCUGAUAGAUUGGGAGACAUGCAACUGUGGGCAUCACCACAAAUGGCAUGAACAUGUGGCGGCUGCAGGUCGUUUCCUUACUGCCAUCUGCAUGCAUGUCGCGGUCCUACUCCGGCAAUCAUGCACUGCAUAGGUUAGGUUACUUUGUCUGGCCAUCACACUGCUAGCUGCAGAGCUUUUCUAUGUGGCAUCGAAGAUGCAUGUUCUGGUAACCGGUAGAUGGAUACCUUCAAGCUAGCCUUCAGCCAUCGGUUCUGCGCUGACAUCCGCGUCUCUCUGGGUCAGCUACUGACCUAGUGUGGCACUGAUAUCUUCCCAUAAUCCCAUCGGAUGGGUUCCAGAAUGUGCUGAUCAGGACACUUGGAACAAGGCUGCAGCAAUAGUGGCCUUACCUAUCAACAUCUUCUGAAAAGAGGGGCUGCUGCUGGCUUUCAGCGAAUCAGCAUCCGUGUCCUUGUAUACUGUAUGAUUGGUGGUGAGCAACGCACCCCAAAACUGCCGGAGCACAGCACGAUCACAAUUCACAGAGUCAGCUAGUGACGAGCACAAGAAAUCGCUUUCCAAACUCCAAUGGAUCCGGGACAAGUGUCGAGGACUGGGAGCGAGCGAAGGAAGAGCAUGAACGCAGUCGAGACGUGCCGGAGAUUUGCUGCUCCGGCCCGUCGCCGGAUCUCGUCAUGCGCCGUCAGCCUGGGCCCCGGGCGCCGGAGCCAGUCCGCUAUCGUCGUCCGCACGCACGGCGCGGCCGUGUGGGCGAGGGCGACGACGCCGCCGGGCAAGGAACUAAGGAAGAAGGAUGGCCUCGCGCCUUCCCGGCUCGCACUCCGGCGGCGAGAAACGCGGGCCUGUCCAGCAGCACCCGAGCGACCCAGAAGCAAGCGCUUUCAAUGACCUGUCCGGCCUUCCGGGCUCCCGGCCACUGCCCACUCAGUCAGGUUGAGUCACACACCCUGACGGCCCAAGUAAGCACGUUGCUGGCCGCCCGUCUGACCUCGGGAACGCGCACGGGCAGGUAGCCGGAUCCGGCGUGUCCGUUCGCGCCGUGCCCAUUCCCCAAGCCGUUUGCAUCCUCUCCUCACGCCCAGCUGCCUUGAUGUCGCGUCUCUCUUGCUUGGAAGUCUAAAGCGUACGAAAACUCUAAACAACGCCGUGAUCGAUGCGCGCGCCUGCAACAGCGGAACGUGCUGAUGCAGCCGUCAAUGGCAACCAGUAACCACCCCGGCAAGCAACAGGCAGCAACGCUGGCACCACGCGCUCUUUCAGAGUCUCGGCUCCCUCGAUCUGCUGCCGCCUAUCCUGAUCGCAGCAGAUGAACAGGACGCCAACGAGGAGGAAGCGGAGGCUCUCCCCGGCCAGCACGCAGCCGCGCCUCCUCGCCGUGGCCAUCGCUGUCGGGUCCACGCUCCUCUUCCUCGUCCUCUUCCUCGUGCUCCUCUCCACCUCACCUCCCCCGGCGCCGUCGUCCCGCCUCGCCAGGGGCAGAAGAUCCUCCCCCUCCACGGCGCUGCCACGCUGCGGCGACGCGGGCCUCGGGGAGCUCGGCGACGCGAUGGUGUCCAUGCUCCCCAAGGACCUCCCGUUCACCGUCUUCGUGCCGUCGCCGGCCUCGUUCCGCCGCGUCCUGAAGCUGCAGGGGUCCAACGCCAGCGCCGCCGCCGAGGGCGACGACAACACCUCCGCCGUCCUCUCCCGCGUGCUGGGCUUCUCCGCGGUGCCCCGGCGCCUGCUCGCCGCGGACGUGCCGCCGCGCGGGCCGGCGCGCCUCCUGGACUCCGUGUCCGGGCUGAGGAUCCGCGCCUCCCGGGACGCCGCGCGCGGGGCGGUCUUCGUCAACGGCGUGCGGUCCGUGUGCGCCGACAUCGUCAGGGGCGAGACCGUGGUGCACGUCGUGGCGGGCGUCCUCAUGGACGCUGAGUUUGAGCGCUCGUUCACGGUGGAAUCUGACGGCUGAUCGUGUCAUCAGACACGGUUUCCGCUUCUGCGUUUCUUUCUUUGUUCCAAAGCGGAAUUUGCGCGACAAUGCACAAUACAUUCCCAAAUUCUCUAAAAAACGAUAUAUUUGCAAAUGCGAGACCAUGGUGCAUGUGCCAUGUCAUGGCGGAUUCCCAUCUGUUUCUGGGAUGUAGCAACUUGAUAGAUGGAUUUCGAACUCCUUUUCAAUGAAAAAAGUUAUCACAUUUGUAUACUUCCUCUAUUUUUAUUUACACGUCGUAUUAGGUUUGUCUUAAGUCAAAUUUGGUCAACUUUGACCAAAUUUAUAGAAAAAAAAUAAUAAUAUUUACAAUAAACAAUUUAUUUUAUUGAAUCCAUGAAAUAUAUGUCGAUAGCGUAUAAGUUGGAUAUUUUUCUAUAGAUUUGAUCAAAGUUAAAUUUGACUAAGACAAACCUAAUGUGAUAUGUAAAUAAAAAUGGAGAGAGUAGAAAAAUCAUUCAACAGAAAGGAAAAAAAAAUCCAAGCAAGAUCUAGAAAUUAAAGCCGACAAGGGAUGACCCAUGUUAGCAGGGGAGCGUUAGAGCAACUUCAGCAAUGAUUUCUAAAUUAGACCCUACGAAUGCUAAAUGGGGUACAGGCUUCCAAAUUUGCUUCAAUUUCAGCAAUAGAUCUCAAUUCUAACUUAUAAGAGCAUCUCCAAGAGCUUUUCUAAAAUCUACUUACUAAAUCAUCAUUUAGAGAGUCAUUUGAGUAAAAGUCAUUUUCUAUAUCUUGUGGUAGUCUAGAGAGUAAUUCUCGAUCUCCAUCUUUCGCUAUCGCUAGCGAGAAAUCUGAAAGAGUAGAUUUAUAUUUAGAUAUCCAAUCGAAGAAGCUGUUGAAGGUUAAUUUUUAACCAAAAUCUCUAUUCCUAAAUAUAUAGAGUCUUUUGGAUAUGCUCAAGAGCAACUUUAACAGUAGCCCUAAAUCAGACCCUCCAAAUACUAAAUAGAGGUUGUCUUUAUUAUUUUUUUAUUUUUAGAGGUUUCUAAAUUAAUUCAACUCCAACAAUAGUCCUCAAUUAUAACUAACAAUGGAGAGCUCAGUAGAGGGUCUGCUGUCCAGCAUCUUUUUUUAUUUCACCCUCUAGACUUUGAGAUUGGAGGUUGUUUAGAGGAUUUGUUAGAGUUGCUCGGCUAAAUCUCCUUAAAAUAGAGAGCUCAGUAGAGGGUCUGCUGUCCAGCAUCUUUUUUUAUUUCACCCUCUAGACUUUGAGAUUGGAGGUUGUUUAGAGGAUUUGUUGGAGUUGCUCGGCUAAAUCUCCUCAAAAUAGAGAGCCUAGUAAACGAUAUACUAGAGUGUAUCCUUUUGAUUUAACCAGCUAAACUCAAUAUAAGAGGCUGCUUAGAGGCCUGCUGAAGUUGCCCUCAAAUGGAUAGAGAUGGAGAGACGAGCAAGAGCAUGAUGCGAUUCAAUCGAUUGGAUCCAAUCGGUGCAAAAAGAUAAAGGUGAGAUGGCUAGAGAUGGAGACACGAGCAAGAGCAUUAUGCGAUUCAAUCGAUUGGUAUCCAUCGGAUCCAAUCGGUGCAAAAAGAUAAAGGUGAGAGACAAAUGGGUCCAUUCACUCAGCCUGUAAAAUGAAAACGAAAAAGAAAAAUAGAAGAAAUCUUUCAAAUCAGAAAAAUUCACGUUCGGAAAGUUUUUAAAAGACUUGCGAAUCAAGAGUUCAAAGACGCAAGGCGUGCCAAUUCAGUGUGAAAAAAAAAAAUUUGGAACUUUUGAGAUCACGUCCCCACUCUUAGCGCGAGCUGGCUGCAUAAACAUUGUGAUGUAGUGUUAUGAUCCAAACACAAAUGACUUAAGAAAGUUAUUGUUUACUGGCCAACGCAUGAGUAAUAGUUUGCAGGUCUUUAAUAAUGUACACACGACAGUGAGAGACGUAAAGUUCAGUUUGCAACAGAUAGGAGCUAAUAAGUACAACCAGAAAAGAUAACAGCGAACUACUCAAUCUAAUUUACAGAUUCAAAUCCACAAAACCAGAAAUCCAUCAGCCUAAUAACAUAGCAAAUAAUUUACAGUAAUACCAAAGAGUUCAAGAUGCUUUCACUAGCAUAAUAAAUCUCCAUUUAUUUCGCCAACAGGAACACAUCACUUUUCCUCCUUGUCCAGUAGUAGUCUCACUGAAGAAAAAUAGAACAAAACCUAUGAUAAUUCUAUGUCAUAAUUUUUAUUUUUUUCUUCAGUCUAACAGUGUCAAUCUUGAAAUUGGUAUAUGGUUAAGGACGAGUAAACUUACAAGAUUGACCAAGUUACAAAAUUGGUAUACAUGCACUAGCGUGUUCCCAAUAGAUGUGAAAUAGUUAAGGACUAGUAAACUUACAAGAUUGACCAAGUCUUUGUUCUGCAUCAGAAUUUUCUGCAUGUCUGCAGUAAUUUCAUCCUGAAACUGAAAUUAAAAGGUGGUAAAAAUCAUAUCAUAAUAAAAAAAAAUAACUAAUUAAUGGGCUGCAGCUCUUCUAAGACUAAUUUUCAUUCUAAGAUAUUCAAUCUGACCCUUUUUGGCACGUUAGGUUCCAGGAAUGCGUAAAAUGUUAGGUAGAUUUUAGUUCAUCAUGAUUUCAUCUUAUAUUUCUUUGGGACAUGGCAACAUUUUCUAACCCAAUACAACAAUUUAUUUACCUGCCUCUCUUGUAAUUCUCUGGACAUGACAACUCUAUGAAAAAAAUAAUUGUUCACCAAAUUGGUUUGCUGUUUCCUAGUCAUAAUACAAGUAACGAGGACUGCGGUUUCAUUUCAUUAUUUUUUAGCCAUAAAUAGUACAAACCUUGAGCCAAAGUUGUAUUGUACAAGUCGAAUAUGAGAGUGUAAACAAUUGAUUCAGUUGUUUUUUCGAGAAUACGCAGAAAAUGAUUCGGAAACUCAUUAUUCUGAACUUGAAUACGACAAGUCAAUUUAAGCAGCAGCAGCAUAAAUGCAUGUACCAACUUUAAAAUGCAUAAUUAUGGUAAACAGUAACUAUAGAUUAAGAAAUAACUGUACCUUGUGGGAAGUUAUUACAGCUUGAGCAUCAGUGCUGCUACGGAAAAACUCUCCCACAAGCUUGAAGAAGGGGACAUUGAUGAAAAAAAGAGAGAGAGAGAUUAGAAUAUAAUGUUAGUUCAAAUAUGAUGAAUAAUUUAAAAUAAAUCCCAGGAGAAAACAUAAUGAACAAACUUAAUCCCUUCGAUUUUAAACAUGUCCUUCUAGACUUACUAAGAAACAAAGGGAAUUAAGGCAGGUAGCAAAUUUGAAAAGGAGCACAUUGCUCAACAAUCGUUGCCAUAAUUAUGUUGGUUAGCAUGUUCACAUAAUUGAAUAGGCAUAUUUGUAUAGGGGCGUAAGAAGGUGCCUGCGGUUGCUGAUGUUCAAGGACAAGAGAUGGAUGACUUGAUUAACUUAACAGUGAAGAAUCUACUGAACUUUCCAGGUGAGCAAAAAAGUAUAUCAGACAAUUGUUUUUUUUGGAAAAGAAACUUGAUUAAAUUUUCUCAUUCUUGUUCCCGUAAGAUACUUUGAACCUAUAAACAUUAUCCUUAUUAAUGCAACAACACAUAUGUUAGCAUUGCAUAAAUCAGCCAUAUUUUACAGAUGUAAAAGUUGCCCUGAUCUCAUAUAUUUCCCAGGAAUCAAUAAUUUUUACUAUUUACUGACAAGAGAUCAUUUAUCCAGCACAAUUUUUUCAAUGUAAACAUUCAAAAUGCAUUCAGAUAAAAAUAACUAUGUACAAAAUGAAGGGUGCUCUUAAGCUGAAUUAUAUGUAUCUAGUGAUCCUAGCAUACACUAACAUCAAUUCAUCGUAUGCCUUUGGAGUUUGGAUAUUGUUUCAACAAUCAAUAAUAACUCUAAGAAAGCAAUAAUUACCUCUAAUAUGCCGUUUAUUGCUUUUUGGAGAGCCAGCUUAACAUCAGUAGAAUCAAGAUAUCCACUUUCACAAUCAACAAUAAGUUCCUCCAUGCUUGAAAAUAUCCUGUACAAAGGUUACAAAGCAAAUAAUUAAUAUCGCAUUGAAUUAUAGCACUUAUAUUUGCAGUACUGUAAGACCAUGUUACCAAACAACUCUUUAGCUAAGGUGAUUUACAAAAUAGACCUUUCACAAACACGUUGAAGAAAAGCAGAGCAGAGGAAAGGUUUUUAAAUUCCCUUGUAAUUCUUGGAGCCUGGAGGUUAUGGAAACAUUGCAAUGAUUGUGUUUUCAAUGGUGUCUCCCCUCAUGGGAGUAACCCGUGACCCCUGUGUUGGUGCCAUAUGGAUCAGCUGACACCCUUAACUCUGGAGUAGAUCGUCUGUAUCUCAUGUAUGGCAUAAAUGUAUGUUUAAUACUCCCUCCGUUCCAAGUUAUAGAUCGUUUUAGCUUUUUUAGAUACAUAGCUUUUGCUAUGCAUUUAGAUAUACAUUAUGUAUCUAGAAAGCUAAAACAACCAACAAAUUGGAAUAGAGGGAAUAUAUGAUAUGUUGGAAUGGGUCUUCUCUAACAUACCAUCUGUACUACGUCCUCUCUACUUCUAAUACAAAGCACACAGCUAUACUGCGUAUCCGAGAGGAAAAGAAACAGGUCAAAGUAACUUUGAGUAGAUAGAGUGAGAGAACUUUACUUGUUACUAUCAUUCCCUUCCUUCCGAACAACCUCCAAGUUUCCAAACCAGGGGAAGGCAACAGACUUUAUGUACUCGAAAAAUGGGUUGAAUGCUGUUACUCUCUGAGGGCAGAAAGCACUGUUUAUUUUUUCAUUUACAUCAUCCUGCAAUAAAAAAAACAUAAGUUUUCUUUACAGCUGAAUAGUAAAGGAUGAUGUUUGACAAACACCAUAAAACCUUCCCCUCUGCUCCUUUGCCUGAAAUAUAUUGUGGUAAACAUGUCCAUAAGUUAUAAACAGCACAGAAGGGCUAUAGUGUGAAGAAAUCUUACCAAGCUCCUUGUCAUGAGCAAAGUCCUCCUCGAAAUUUAUUUUCAGAGGCGCAAAUUGUAUUUCAUCACAAUACUUGCCAUGAAAGUAAGCUGGUUCUUUCCCAAACAGCUGUUCAGGAGAGUUACACAUGCGAUCCACCAUUGAGGAAUCUUUUUCUGAACCAAGACCAAUAGAGAUUGAACCCAUGAAGUAAAAUCCUGUAGAUUUCCAAGUGAUUUCUGAACCUACAUGGUUUAGGUAAAACAGCAUGUAACUAGGAAAAGGAACACCGGGAAAAAACCGGUAGUCAUCCUGACAUUACAAAUUAGUUCAGAGUGCAACACACACAAACCAGCGGAUCCAUGAAUAUGCUAGCUUAUGCUUAAUUUUAUUCGACGAAGCCUACCUAUGCAUAUGGUAUGGAGAAAUCAAAACCUCUAACGGAUUUUGUGAAUGACAACUGAAUCAUAUAUAGAGGUUCAUAAACAACAAAAUGGGCACUAGUUAAUUUGACAAAUGACACAUCACCAUAAUCAUGGGCACUGAAAUCAGGCGGUGAGGCAAACAUCCAAGCCACAUAACAAUGAAAACAUGUGAAAUUCCUAGAUGUAAACCAGGCUAUCACAAUAUUAUGAGUCACAUAAACGUCGGGUGCUGCUAAUAGGAAAAUUCAGUGCGAACGAAACAUCAAAUAGUUUUGAGAGACACCACUUGAUCAAUAAACGCCACAUCACCGAAAUCAUGGGCAUUGAAAUCAGGCGGUGAGGCCAACAAUCAAGCCACAAAAGCAACCAUGUGGAAUUCCUAAUACUCAUUGACCUGAACAUAUACGAAAACCACGGAUUUGAACGCAAUGUUAUUAAUGAAAUAGAUGAUGAGGUGCUUCUAAUAGAAGAAUUCAGUGUGUCAGAUACAUUUCUAGAAUUUAAGCACUGUAGCAAUGUCCAUACCUUUGCCGAGCUCGUACAGGCGAAGAUUUGUGCCAGCUUCUUCUGGAUAGAUCUCGAGAUUUACAUACAGAUUUCCAUCAGUUGACUUGAGAUCUCCGCUUCCCUGCUGAGGGCUGCAGCGGACGAGCGGGAUCGAGCGGAUAGACUCACCACCCUUCACAAAAUGGAGCAGUAGCUUUUCCACCUCCGGAGGGGACGAGGUGGAGGGAAGCCCCGGGUCUUCCCGCGCCGGCAGCGAGGCCGUGGCGCCGCUCGAAGCCACUAGCGCCCGCCCGCCCGCCCGCCCGCAGGUUGCGGGGCGCACGACUCCCACCGAUGGAUAAGGCGGUACGGCCCGGCGGCGGCGCCAUCGCGGAUGAUGAUCUCGACGAGGAGAUCAACCCUUCCCUCUCCUCCCAUCCCCGCCAUUGCCGAGCCGAGAAACCCUAACCCGCGGGAUUUGGGGGGAACGAGGCAGGGAGGGUUGGAGGGGCAGAGGAGAAUGAUUUCAGUUGAGUUGAAAAGCGGGAAGCGGGAGGAGCUUCCCGCUCGGAUUGGGGUCAGGAGAUCGAACGGUUCCGUGCGCUUUAGGCCUUUCAAGGAGACGGUGGAUGGCCACGCAAGCCAUGGCAGGGAACAAGCGGCGACGUCGUCAGUAUUUAGGGGGUGUUUGGUGCAGCUUCUCAACCAGCUUUUCAACAUCUUUAAGCGCUUAGACAGUCAAACACCACGCUUCUAUCCGCGCUUCAGAAACCAGCGCUACUCUGUGCCUUCGUAAAAGCAGCGUAGAGGAAAAGCUGAGGCCACCCCGCUUCCCACCGCUUAUGCGGUCUCAACGCCCCUCUCCCGACUCCCCACGGCGCUGCGCCCCUCUCUCAUCCCGUUCCUCCCUCUUGCGCCCCCCUCUCUGCUCCAUGGAGAGCUAGGGUUCUGCCCCGCCCCCUGCUCCACCAAGCCGCGCCGCCCUGCCCCGCCCGCGGCCGCGCGGCGCCGCCCCGCUGCGGCCUCCGCCGCCCAGCCCCGCCCCGGGGCCCGCGCCGCCCCGCCUCCGCCGCGCCGCCCCGCCUGUUUUAUGUGAGAACACUGUUUUCUUCUCUCAAAGGUAAUCACGUUUUACUUGCAUUGAUCAAAGGGUUUUCUCCAUAUAUGAGGGUUCGGUGCUGUUGCUACUGUUCUUUACCCCAAGAUUGCAACCCUAGAUUUGUGAAACAGCUGCUUAAUCGUGCCUGGUCUGUUUCGUCAUAUCACCAAAGCUAUCUGUUGUUCACACUCUCUAGCAUCCUAUUUGAACCGGGGGUGCUGUACGGCGAACAAAUUCAACUUUAUCUUACUCUUUGGAUUGAGAAAUUUGCCAUUUACUCACUCAAUAAGACGAUAUCCUUCUGACAGCAAUACUGCUGGACCGAUUCACACUUACUCUUAACCCAAAUUGCAUUAUUGAUGUAAAUAUUUACGAUGAUCUUAUAUAGUUUUGCAGGUACUGAGUUGCAGGAAUUAUCAUACCUUUCUUUGAAGGUAGGCCAGGACCGCCCCGUCCCGCCCCUGCUGCCACUUCUUCAAGAUCAACACCAGCAAGGUAAGGCAACGCAACUAGCUUCUGUGAUCUACUUUGUGCUAAUUUAAACAAUUAGAGUAGCUGUAAUUUAGUCACUGAUGGAGAACAUGUCAAAGAGCAGGAAACCAAAUGCACAAUGGGAUCCAACUGCUGCUAAAAUUUUUAAUGAGAUAUGUGUGGAACAAGUGUUGGCAAAUAAUAGACCACAAGAUUGUUUGAACAACAAAGGGUAUGCCAAUCUUAUUGCCCAGUUUAAUGAACGGACUGGCAGAAAUUACAACCGUUCUCAAAUGAAAAAUCGUUGGGAUGCACUGAAAAAUGACUAUACAACAUGGAAGACACUACUCCUGGCCGCAUCUGGUUUAGGGAGAGAUCCAAAGACUGGUUCUAUUGCAGCUGAUGUUGAAUGGUGGAAAGAAAAAAUAGAGGUAUGCAAUCUUGUGCUAGGUUCUGUUAUAUUAUAUUAGUUGCAUGGCUUGAUUUUAAAUAUUAUAACUAAUUGUGUUUCAGGCCAUGCCCGCAUGCAAAAAAUUUAGACUUGCUCCAUUGGAGAAUGAAGAAGAUCUUGAAAUAAUGUUUAGUGGUGCGUCUUGCACCAAUGUAUAUGCUGCUAUUCCAGGAGCAAAGGAGGGAAUAGCAGGAGCAAAGGAGGGAACAUCAGGAGCAAAUGAGAGAUCAGAUGGUACUGACGAUGAGGUUGAGGAGGUGCUUCCAUUUUCCCCGCCAGGAGCAAAUGCUAAGAAAAGAGGUGCUGCUCACAAAUCCCCAAUGAAGAAAACAAAGAAGAAUUUUAGAGACUUGCAGUUUAAACGGUUUGUGGAUUCAUUUGUGGAAAAAGCUAGUUCAAGCAAGUCUUCCGCAACUUCAUCUCCUAAUGAUUAUGUUAGACAAGAGAUAGCAGAAAUGUUGGAAUCAGUUAUUGAGGCUGGAGCAUGUGAAGGAAGUGAUGAACAUUUCUAUGCCACACAACUCCUCGUCAAGAAGGAGUACCGUGAUGUGUUUACCGCUCUUAAGACCCCAGCUGGGAAGCUUGCAUGGCUGAAGAGAACUUGGGAGGAGAGGAAGACACGCUAGACAUGGCUAGCUUUGCAUUGUACCAUUAGUAUCGUACUUUGAUUUUAUCUUGUUGUAUGAUGAACUUGGUUUUGAAUGUUGAACCUGAUAUCAAUAUUUUAUGGCUGAUACGAAAUAUCUUGUAUGGUUGUAAUCAGUUCUGAAAUCUGUGUGUUGUUAUUAAAUAUUUUCUAUGGCUGAGUUGUGCUCAUUUAUACAGAUGGCAUUCACUUCAAGUGAGUCUAAUGAAACUGGGAUAGCAAGUAAUUCAAGUGAAUCAAGUGAUUGGAUGUAUGAAGCUGCUGCAAUUGCAGCUUAUGCAAUGGUUGAUUGUGGGACACCUUCAUCUGCAAAGAAGCCAAGGAAAGUGCCGAAGGAGACAGGUUUUCAGUGGGUUCAAAGGCAGCUAAGUGAUCCAGAAAGUUGCUAUGACAUGUUUAGAAUGAGAAGGUCAGUGUUCUUCAGCUUGCAUGAGGUCUUGGUGAAUAAUUAUGGCUUAACAUCUUCGGAUGAGAUGUGCGCAAUAGAAGCUCUUGGCAUGUUUCUAUGGAUGUUUGGUGCCCCUCAGUCAGUUCGCCAAGCAAAGCAUAUUUUUACGCAUUCCUUAGAAACUAUUAGUAGGAGGUUCAAUGAUGUUUUGGAAAGUGUUAACAUUUUGGCUGCUGAUAACAUUAAACCUAAAGAUCCUUCUUUUGCUGUGGUACAUCCAAAAAUUAGAGAGCAUAGAUCUUGGCCUCAUUUCAAAAAUUGCAUUGGCGCGAUAGAUGGAACCCAUAUUGAAGUCACUGUACCAGCAUCAGAGCAGGCAGUACAUAUGAAUAGACAUGGAUAUUGUAGUCAAAAUAUUAUGGCUGUUUGUGAUUUUGACAUGAGAUUCACAUUUGUGGUGGCGGGAUGGCCUGGAUCUGCUCAUGAUACACGUAUAUGGAGGGACACUUUGUAUGGCAAGUACAAGGAUAAAUUUCCACAUCCUCCUCAAGGAAAGUUCUAUCUUGUUGAUUCAGGUUAUCCAAAUCGAAAGGGUUAUCUAGCACCGUACAAAGGUCAAAGGUACCACAUUCCAGAAUUUCAAAAUGCAGGGCAACCGAUUGGAUUGAAAGAGGUGUUCAACCAUGCUUACUCAUCACUUAGAAAUGUUAUUGAACGUUCAUUUGAAGUCUUGAAAAUGAAAUGGCGCAUUCUUCGAAAUGUGCCAAGCUACCCAAUGGAGAAGCAAACAAUGAUCAUAAUUGCUUGUAUGGCGUUACAUAACUUUAUUAGAGAUAGUAAUUUGAGUGAUGUGGAUUUUGAUAGAAUGGCAGCAGAUGAGACGUAUAUCGAUGAGGAUGGGGACAUGGGAGCUAGUACAAGUCAAUUUGUGGAUGAAGAAGAUAUGGAAGGUGUACGUGAUGCCAUUGCGCAAGCAUUGAUGGGAGGUUACUAGAUAUGUAAUAUUUGCCAAAAUAACUUAUGUAACAAUCAUGAAUUAUCUAAUAUAUAAUUAUUUACUUUGUGUUGUUAAUUAUUUUAUUAUUAGUUUGUUAUUAUAAAUAUAUAAAUAUACAUCUAUACAUACUAAAUACAUGUAUUCAGACAACAGGGAGAGUAUUUCAGUCAUUUCCCACUUCUGACAGGGUUUCAGCCCAUUUGUUAAGCAAUCUGCCAAACAUCUAACUUCUGUGACCAGCUGCUUCUUCAACCAGCUGCUUCUCUGGCCAGCUGGCUACCAGCUGGCUUCUGAACAAGUUCCAGCUAUCCCAAACAGGUUCUAAAGCGACUGACACCAGGGAACCCAGCGGAUGCAGAGACUGACGGUGGAACCGGAUGAGUUUGUGUAAUACUUAGCACCUGGAUUUUUUAAGACAAAAUUUCCUACUUGACACGGAGAAGUGUCAAAUGAGUAGUUCCUUCCUUGGAUCUGAAAAAAUCUUCUUCCUAUUUGAUACCGAGCUCAACUUUUAUUUUCAAAUUGACACUCCAUUUAAUUUUCUAUUUUAAACGCUUUGUGAAAAGACGGUUUUGCCCUUCCUAAACGUGGGCCUCACCGCUUCUUCCUUUCUCCUUCCUCUCUCUUUCUCUCCUCCCACUCUCCCAUGCCCAAGCACGCCGCCAUUGCCAUCCCCGCCGGCGCACCCUCGUCAUGCCUGUCGCCGCCUGCGCACUUCACCAGCUAGCUUCCACCUCCGCCGCCGCGGCGCUGCGGUCCACGUUAGCCCCAGCGGCUCGGCGGCACAACAGUUGGGCAAGCUCGCGGUCCGUUAGUGGGGCGGGGUGACAGCAGGGCUCGUGGCCCCGUCGGGCGGGCACGCAGCCUCUGUAGGUGUCGGACCCCUACGGCGCGGCAGCUGGGAUUUCGGCCGCGUCGGGUCGGCAGCCGGGCGGCGCGUCGGGUUGGCGGCGGGGUGGCGCGCUCGGGCUGGGUACGUGAUGCGACAGUACGGCGCAGCGCGGCGUGGCACCGGCGCCCAGCGGCAGCGCGGCCUAGGGAGGCGGCGAGGCGUAGAGCAUGGGCGGCAGCGGCGGCCUACCAGCAUGAACUGAGGCCGGAGUGCAAGGUCCGAUAAGACGGUCGGCCGGGGGAGGUGUGGCCAGAGGAGGCGCACCCAGGCCCCGACGGUGUGGAGCAGAGGAGGGAGAAGGUGGUAGGAUCCACAUAGGUAAAACCGUUUUUUCACAAAUUUUUAGAUGGAAAAUCCAACAGAAUGUCAAAUAAGGAAUGAAAGUUGAGCUCGAUGUCAAAUAGGAAAUGAACAAUUUUUUAAAGCCGAGAAAGGAAAGGCUCAGUGUCAAAUAGAAAAUUUUAUCUUUUUUAAAUAAUAGAGUCCAUGGCCGGAGUAUAAACUUAUUCUGUUAUUCUCUUACUGCUGCGGCGCGCCUCCUGGACUCCGUGUCGGGGCUUAGGAUCCACGCCUCCAGAGACAGCCGUGCGGGAUGCUUAUCGUCAACAACAUGCGAUGGGGGGUGGUAAAAAAAUUUAAAUUUUAGACUAAAUAAUUUAAAUACUAGAUGGCAAAUUGAAUUCUAAAGAAAAUAUUAGAAUUAUAAUCCGUUUACCUACUUGCGAGUGCGCCGACAUGGUGAGGGGCGAGACCGUGGUGCACGUCGUGGCGGGCGUCCUCAUGGACGCCGAGUUCGAGCGCUCGUUCGCGGUGGGAUCUGACGGUUGAUCGAGUCAUCGGACACGGCUCUGCUUCUGCGUUUGUUUCUUUGUUCCGAAGUGGAAUUUGCGAGAAAAUGCACGAUGCAUUCGCAAAUUCUCCAAAAAAACAAUAUGUUUGCAAAUACUAGCAUCGCUUAAUCGUUUACUUGCUACACAACUCUAGACUCUGGUGCGUCGAGAUUGUCAAGGGCGAGACCGUGGUGCAUGUCAUGGCGGAUCCCCAUAUGUUUCCGGGAUGUAGCAACUUGAUAGAUGGAUUUCGAGCUCCGUUUGAAUGAAAAAGGUUAUCACAGGCGUAUAGAAAAUCAUUCAGCAGAAAGAGGAAAAAAAUCCAAGCCAAUCUGGAACUUCAAUUAUUUCACCCCAUAGCAUGAGAAAUUCCGAAGUCCCAGCCCAAAAGAAAAUCAUUUGAUAUAUGUUUAUUUAUUUACUUAUAAAUUCAUGAAAGAAAUAAAAAAAUAGUUUUCACCUCGUUUCUUUAGGAAACGUUCACUGCGCUGUAGUGCGGCAUGAAAAAUCCGCCCCGAUGGACGAGUGGGCCGCACCAUCUUCCACCUGGGCCGCUUCACGCCACGGCCUGAUCGGCCUCGUCGCCUCUCUCUCUCUCUCUCUCUCUCUCUCUCUCUCUCUUUCUCAAGCCGCUCUGCUGGCAGUUACUCACCUUGCCUGUCUCGCGCGUCAGAAUGGAAGUCGAGGACGACGACGCAGUGGCGGCGGCGGCGAGCGCGUGGCCGGGUUCAACCAGGCGCUUCCACCUCCUUCAGUUCCUCCUCCACGCCUCCAAGGUGCGCACUGUUCCAUGCCCUCCGCCCCCCAACCCAACAACUGGACUCCCCGACGGAGCUAGACCUCAGCUAGCUGCUACCUCCCGUGAUUUCCACGCAGCGGCUCGACCUCCAGCCCAUCGUCAAGUACUCCGCGCUCGCGUUCUUCGCCGGCCGCUUCCUCCCCGCGCUCUCGAGGUGACCCAUCA
rnacentral:lncRNA from 1 species